GUCUAUGGCUAUGCUACCCUGAACAAGCCCGAUCCCGUCUGAUCUCGGAAGCUAAGCAGGGUCAGGCCUGGUUAGUACUUGGAUGGGAGAUCACCUAGGAAUACCAGGUGCUGUAGGUG
rnacentral:rRNA from 1 species